UACAGAGGUCUCAAGCGUUGUUCGGAUUCAUUGGGCGUAAAGGGCGCGUAGGUGGCGGGACAAGCGUGCGGUGAAAGCUCGGGGCUCAACCCCGGGUCGGCCGUGCGAACUGUUUUGCUUGAGCACUGUAGAGGCAGGCGGAAUUCCGGGUGUAGCGGUGGAAUGCGUGGAGAUCCGGAAGAACACCGGUGGCGAAGGCGGCCUGCUGGGCAGUAGCUGACACUGAGGCGCGACAGCGUGGGGAGCAAACAGG
rnacentral:rRNA from 1 species